rnacentral:rRNA from 1 species
AACGAACGCUGGCGGCAGGCUUAACACAUGCAAGUCGAGCGCCCCGCAAGGGGAGCGGCAGACGGGUGAGUAACGCGUGGGAAUCUACCCGUCUCUACGGAAUAACGCAUGGAAACGUGUGCUAAUACCGUAUACGUCCUUCGGGAGAAUGAUUUAUCGGAGAUGGAUGAGCCCGCGUUGGAUUAGCUAGUUGGUGGGGUAAAGGCCUACCAAGGCGACGAUCCAUAGCUGGUCUGAGAGGAUGAUCAGCCACACUGGGACUGAGACACGGCCCAGACUCCUACGGGAGGCGGCAGUGGGGAAUAUUGGACAAUGGGCGCAAGCUUGAUCCAGCCAUGCCGCGUGAGUGAUGAAGGCCCUAGGGUUGUAAAGCUCUUUCACCGGUGAAGAUAAUGACGGUAACCGGAGAAGAAGCCCCGGCUAACUUCGUGCCAGCCGCCGCCGUAAAAC